ACAUUUGGUAGAGACUGUUGAAGCCACUGGGUCCCAGCAGAUCCCAAAAACCAGCCACAUUCGCUGGUGUUGGGACAAGGUCAUUAUGGGUGAAGCCUGCUGCCAGAUGUG
rnacentral:rRNA from 1 species